rnacentral:rRNA from 1 species
UGGGGAAUAUUGCACAAUGGGCGAAAGCCUGAUCCAGCCAUGCCGCGUGUGUGAAGAAGGUCUUCGGAUUGUAAAGCACUUUAAGUUGGGAGGAAGGGCAUUAACCUAAUACGUUAGUGUUUUGACGUUACCGACAGAAUAAGCACCGGCUAACUCUGUGCCAGCAGCCGCGGUAAUACAGAGGGUGCAAGCGUUAAUCGGAAUUACUGGGCGUAAAGCGCGCGUAGGUGGGUUGUUAAGGUGGAUGUGAAAUCCCCGGGCUCAACCUGGGAACUGCAUUCAAAACUGACUGACUAGAGUAUGGUAGAGGGUGGUGGAAUUUCCUGUGUAGCGGUGAAAUGCGUAGAUAUAGGAAGGAACACCAGUGGCGAAGGCGACCACCUGGACUAAUACUGACACUGAGGUGCGAAAGCGUGGGGAGCAAACA